GUUGUCAAGUUAAACAGCAAAUGGUGUAGUUGUGUGAGUGCAAUACCAUCUCCACCCAGCUGGCACGUGGCUCACAGAAAAUCAAGCACACCCGUCUCUCCCACUCAGGCCUUCAGGAGCCUAUAAAGCAACUCAGCACACCUGUGUUUGAGAUAAUCUCUACAAACAAAGACCUCAUCUUCAAGCUCCUGCAGAACACCACUGGUUUUCAACCUGCUCAGGUGUCAUGUAUUGGAAAGAACAGUGAUUUAAAGAAAAGACAAGAAAAGAAAAGAGAAAUAAAAUAAAAAGAUGACACUGAGAAGAGUUGGUCCUGGAUUUCUUUGAUGAGAGCAAGCCUUGUCAAGUUUGGGCAGAAGCUAAGGUGUUUUGUAGAGACUAAAAACUUGACAGUUGAAAACCAACAGAAACCAGCUGGAAACCAGUUCGAACCAGUUGGAAACCAACUGAAGAUCAGAUGGAAGUGAAGACCUGAGAAAAGAGCUUCGACGAAACAACUCAAGGAGGAACAUCAGGUCAUCUCAUCUAUACAGCCCACAAUGGCUGAAGAAAUGUUUGGAAAGUCAGUGAAACAAUUAAAGCUGGAUCGCACGAUGGCAAAGUCUUCCUUCACCAAGCAAGCAAACUUCCUGAGCAGAAAAGCUUUCAACAUGACAGAGAUGGAACUGCGAGAGGAGUUUAAAAAGCUAACUUCUGAUGCCAGACAUAUGUUGGCCUGGAAGACCUUAAAAGACCAGAUACCAUUGAGCUGCUAAUAAGCCACAGAGAAGGCAGACUGGCCCCUCAAAGAGUCAAGGUUGUUGGAGACCUGGUCCUAUGGAACAGUCCACUCGGCAUGACCGUGGGAGGAGCUCAUCCGGAUCUUUGUGAAGACGUCGACGUGGCAGCACACAGGUCAGAAACGCACUUUGCUCGUUCUAUGCGCAUUGCUGCUGUAAAGUAUAAAGAAGUCUGCAGUUUCGAAGAAGUUAAAGCAGAAAGCAAAAACACAACUACCAAUAAAGAAUUCAUUGAUUGGUGGAAGUGGGAGAGCAUAGGAGCAGCUUGUGAACCAAAGUGUGGUGGAUGUCGCUGCGGAACAUGUCAACCAGGUGGGAAAGAUAUGACAUUAAUGGAGGAGAAAGAACUUGAAAUAAUUAAACAAGGUCUUACCUAUGUGCAAGCAGAUAACCACAGUGAUGCUUCCCACUGGGAUGCAAAGUAUCCUUGGAUUGUAGAACCCGCUUGUCUUCCCAAUAACAGGAAAAGUGUUGAAUCAACUUUCUUAAGAACAGAAAGACGAUUAAAUAAAGAGCCUGAAUGGAAAACUGUCUAUGCAAACCAGGUGCAUGAAAUGGUGGAGAGAAAAGCAGCAAUA